AGGUCAGUAGCUCAAUCGGUAGAGCAGCGGAUUCCAAAUCCGCAGGUCGUGGGUUCGAUUCCCUCCUGGCCUG
rnacentral:tRNA from 1 species